rnacentral:rRNA from 1 species
AGAGUUUGAUUAUGGCUCAGGAUGAACGCUGGCGGCGUGCUUAACACAUGCAAGUCGAACGGAGCCAAAAGGAAGCUUGCUUCUUGAAGCUUAGUGGCGGACGGGUGAGUAACGCGUGAGCAACCUGCCCUUCAGUGGGGAAUAACACCGAGAAAUCGGUGCUAAUACCGCAUAAUGUCGGAGGACCGCAUGAUCUUCCGACCAAAGGAUUUAUUCGCUGAAGGAUGGGCUCGCGUCCGAUUAGGCAGUUGGCGGGGUAACGGCCCACCAAACCAACGAUCGGUAGCCGAACUGAGAGGUUGAUCGGCCACAUUGGGACUGAGACACGGCCCAGACUCCUACGGGAGGCAGCAGUGGGGAAUAUUGGGCAAUGGGCGAAAGCCUGACCCAGCAACGCCGCGUGAAGGAUGAAGGUCUUCGGAUUGUAAACUUCUUUGAUUGGGGAAGAAUAAAUGACCUACCCAAAGAACAAGUCACGGCUAACUACGUGCCAGCAGCCGC